CAGCCGCCACGGGAAUACAGAGGGUGCGAGCGUUAAUCGGAAUUACUGGGCGUAAAGCGUGCGCAGGCGGUUUGUUAAGACAGAUGUGAAAUCCCCGGGCUUAACCUGGGAACUGCAUUUGUGACUGGCAAGCUAGAGUAUGGCAGAGGGGGGUGGAAUUCCGCGUGUAGCAGUGAAAUGCGUAGAUAUGCGGAGGAACACCGAUGGCGAAGGCAGCCCCCUGGGCCAAUACUGACGCUCAUGCACGAAAGCGUGGGGAGCAAACAGGAUUAGAUACCCCUGUAGUCCCUGUCUCUUAUAC
rnacentral:rRNA from 1 species